AUUGAACGCUGGCGGCAGGCCUAACACAUGCAAGUCGAGCGGAUGAAGGGAGCUUGCUCCUGGAUUCAGCGGCGGACGGGUGAGUAAUGCCUAGGAAUCUGCCUGGUAGUGGGGGAUAACGUCCGGAAACGGGCGCUAAUACCGCAUACGUCCUGAGGGAGAAAGUGGGGGAUCUUCGGACCUCACGCUAUCAGAUGAGCCUAGGUCGGAUUAGCUAGUUGGUGGGGUAAAGGCCUACCAAGGCGACGAUCCGUAACUGGUCUGAGAGGAUGAUCAGUCACACUGGAACUGAGACACGGUCCAGACUCCUACGGGAGGCAGCAGUGGGGAAUAUUGGACAAUGGGCGAAAGCCUGAUCCAGCCAUGCCGCGUGUGUGAAGAAGGUCUUCGGAUUGUAAAGCACUUUAAGUUGGGAGGAAGGGCAGUAAGUUAAUACCUUGCUGUUUUGACGUGACCAACAGAAUAGCACCGGCUAACUUCGUG
rnacentral:rRNA from 1 species